CGGUCUGGAACUCACGUGCUACAGAUGAUUUUUAAAUUCUUGGUAUUUUGAUAUACAAAGGUAUUGAAAUAAGAUUUUAAUUGAAUGCUAAGAGAACGGAAGUCCAGAAAAAAACUUUUUUUAAAUUAAAAAUUGAAGUUUUUUUAAUUUGUGCAGAAACAAUUAUUUAUAUUAAAGACAAGAAGACCCUAUGAAUUUAUUAAAUUUUUAUUUAAUAUGUAAUUACUAUUAGAAAAAUUUUGGCUGGGGCGGCUAGAAAAUAUUAUAAACUUUUUAAAAAUAAAAUGAUCCAUUAUUAAUGAUUUUAUGUUAAAUACUCUAGGGAUAACAGCGUUAUAUUUUUUGAUAGAUCAUAUUGACAAAAAAGUUUGCGACCUCGAUGUUGGAUUCAGGAUCACCUUUUUAAUGAAGAUAUAAAAAAUAUUGGGGGGGCCAAUU
rnacentral:rRNA from 1 species